UCCGAUAUGGUGUAGUGGCUAACAUUAUCGCCUCUCAUAUAGUACGACGCGAUAGCCCGGGGUUCGAUUCCCCGUGUCGGAA
rnacentral:tRNA from 1 species